rnacentral:lncRNA from 1 species
AAACACGAGUGUUACACUCUCCAGGAAAUCUUGACCCUUAAAUCUCACCGUAGUCAAUUUAUUGAACUACGGUAACUUAGCUCAUGGAUCACUUCCAAUUCUUGUCAAAUGUUGGAUCGUGUUAUCCACCAACCAAUGAUAGUGUUGGGAUUAAAACCCUAAUUGAGAUUUGAUGAACAAGAUGCGGAAAAUAAGAACAAUCACAAAUAUGAAGAUUAUGUCGAAUGAUCACUCGAUUCAUUCAAACAAGAGGAAUAAAUUACACUUAAAGCAUAGACUAAAGAAUCUAACACUACAUAAGAAACCUCACGUGGCGGCUACAUUUUGCCUCACUCUUAACCCUAAUUGUGAAUAAUACAUGACUAUUUAUAGGGAAAAGACAAGUCUUGGGCUUUUAACCUAGAAUUCAUCAAAGGGGCCCAUUGCCAUCAUCCAUGGAGUGCUUUGAAACCCUACAAUCUCCCCCUCAAAGUAUGGAAUGGAUGACAAUGCUUUAACUUCCAAAACAAGCAUCUAGCAAAUAAAAAGAUCUGCAACGAGGAAUAUAUGAAGCAAUCCACGAAUCUCGAUUCUUCAAUAGUCUUUCAACACGGGCUCUAGGAUAUAUAAAGCAAGCACUGAAGUAAUGUAUUUAAACUUCAUUUUCGAAUGUAAUCCCAAAGAAAAUCUUCAUGAAAACCAAACCCGCCAUAAAAAUCCAUUUCAGAACAAAGAAACCGAAUCACUUCUUGUCUUUGAAGAGCUCCCCCUCCAAGUCACAAUGAUCUUCAAAUAAGCUAAUGAUAUAAGCCAUCAAAAAAUGUCAUGUAACAACCCAAACUUUAAGAUUCGUAAUGCCACUUGAUCGAGAAAAUACUAGAAGUCGGAGAUAUAACAAGUCCUUAGCAGAGCUCGAUAAAGAACUUCCGCUGUAAAGGAUACUUCUCUGUAAAAGCUUUAGUAGAGCUCGAUGAAGAACUUCCGCUGUAAAAGCUACAUUCAUAAUUCUACCACAAGCUUUAUCAAAAAUCUUCAACUUUGAAAAGUCACAAAUCCAAUUUCGAAUGACGAUACCAAAUUCUUCCCCGAUUUAUAAUCAAAAAAUGAUUAUAAAGCCUUCAAAUGGUCUUGAAUGGAUAAAAAUUUACUAAGCUCCCCCACGAAAAAAUGAUAUACACAAUAAAGUAUAAAAUCCAAAAAAGUCGUGAAAAUUUGUCGUUAUCACGAUAAACGACUUUCCGAACCGCCAAGACUUGAUGGAAUCAUUAUUUUUCUGUUCACGGAAAAAAUAUGUGCGUUAAAGAAUUCAAAACUGUUCACCAGCCCUUAAAAUUGCAAACUUUUCGAAAAAUGGGCUGAAAUUAUCACUUGCUGAAAAACAGGGGCUGGAAUGGUAAUUCUGUAUGAAUAUACCCCUUUAUUUGUAACAAUUUCUGGAAUUGGUCCAAAACUGCCAAGGCAUGAAAAGUAUAGGGACCAGACGUCAAAUUGUUGAAGUUGCAGGGACCAAGUGGGAAACUUUGAGUUAUCUUCUUCCCCACAACGACUGAUAAAAGAAGAAACGAUACCACACGAUUUGAUCAUUCGGUCCGAGCACAAGCAACCGAAACCAUAUUCGGUCCAAGACUAUUUAUACAAAAACCAUGUUCGGUCUGAAAUCCAACAUCAUGACAAGUGAAACCUCAGCCAAACCGAAUCACAGGUUCGCUUUCGGUUCAUCUCCUCUUUCGGUCCAAGCAUAAGCACGCGAGCCCAAGAUCGAGGUUCGUUCCAAGAGCUACCAACCGAACUUAAGUUCGUUCAUGGUACAUUCCAAGGCCAUUGAUACAAAAGCGAAAUCAAGCAUCACGAUGCGGACAAGGAAUGAAACCUUAGCCAAGCCGACCCACAUGUUCGCUUUCCCCUCUUUCGUUCUAAGGUAACAGAUGAACCCAUUCAUAGAUUUGCUUACGAAUCAAACGAACGUGGGAGAAGAAUGACUGCUUAUGUGAACCUAGAAAUCAAUUUCACAUCCGAACAGUUGUAGGUAUGAUGUUCGUUCCAAAUCACAAACAUAAAACCCAAGUUCGUUCCAAGUCCAUCGAUUAUACCCCUAAAGCGGACGUUCAUGGGAAGAACUUUCAAGGCAAUUAUGACUUUUCUGUUGACCAUUGUGCAUACCAAUUGAGAUCGCUUCAUUCUUCAUUCGUUCACAUGUAAGAAUUUUUCAUAGCAAUUUUGACUUUUGAGGUAUGACCUGCAAAUGGCGAACACCCCAAAAUAAUCCCAGUUAAGUUUCAAUCAUGAUUUAAUUCUUUCCAAGCAACACACUUGCAGCAUCGAUCCAAUUUCAUCAUUCAUUUUGACUAUUUGGUUUGACUAAAUGAAAACCAAUUCUGUUCAUCGUUCUUCAUUCCUUUUCUAUCAAUUCUUCUUGAUCCGAUUGUAUCUUUGACAAGCAUUUACGAACCGAUACACAAACCAUUCCGAUUGAGUUUCAAUUGCGAUUGCGAAACCCAGCAUCUGUUCUCGACUUCUAACAAACAUUGGUACAAACAACAACCCUAAAUCAUUGAUUCGCCAAAUCAUCUCUAAUAUUCACCGAAUGAUAUAAUCAAGAAGCAAAUUUGAUAUUUGAUGAAUGAAUCUACUGAAUUAGAUCGAACACAAAAUUAUACAAAAUCAAAAUCGAUCUUGAUAAAGGCCUCGUUUAUGAAUAUCGACUCAAGAACGGAAGGACAAUGGAUUUGAAGGAACGAUAAUCACAAAUUUGAGAUUAGUCAAUUGCAAUAUGCGAUUCCAAAGAUCAGGAUGUAUGGGCGAAACCAACAAAUAGUCAAUAAAAACGAUAAGCUUAAUAGUUGGAAUCAAAGAAUAGUAAACGAUAAAAGAUGGGCCCAAUAACAGCAUAUUAUCGGCUGAAUGAAAUAAAAACAAAACCAAUCGGGACACUAUCGACGGAAUAAAUGAUUUUCAGAUCCAAAUCUAAAGGGGUGAAUAUGAUGAACAGGAACACGAUUAUUUGGGCUAAAACAUGGAUCUAUAGAAAAUAAUUAAAUCAAAAGACUUUGAUCUUAAAACAAAUCAGAUCCAAAGAACAGAAAAACGAACCGGAUUGAUACAACACCAGAUGAACACUAGAAGAACAACAUCAAUCUCCAUGAACAGUAACUUGAACAGAAAUCUUGAUUCUAUACUGCCAAAACACCAAUAAUCUUCAAUAUGUGUGCAGAAAAUCAUCAAAUCAAAAACCGAUACUUCAAAGAUCAAUAGAUCUUCAAAGACCUGCUCUGAUACCACUUGUUGGGAUUAAAACCCUAAUUGAGAUUUGAAGAACAAGAUGCGGAAAAUAAGAACAAACACAAAUAUGAAGAUUAUGUCGAAUGAUCACUUGAUUCAUUCAAACAAGAGGAAUAAAUUACACUUAAAUCAUAGACUAAAGAAUCUAACACUACAUAAGAAACCUCACGUGGCGGCUACAUUUUGCCUCACUCUUAACCCUAUUUGUGAAUAAUACAUGACUAUUUAUAGGGAAAAGACAAGUCUUGGGCUUUUAACCU